CAUUGCCUCUCGACUCAACAAUGAGAGGUUCAUCCUGCCCAAUGACAACAUAGUUCAAUGGCCGCGGUACCCUGACCGUGCAAAGGUAGCAUAAUCACUUGCCCCUUAAUUAGGGGCUGGCAUGAAAGGACACACGAAAGCUUCCCUGUCUCACAAUAACAAAUAAAAAUUAAUCUUCAAGUGAAAAAGCUUGAAUGAAACUGCAGGACAAGAAGACCCCGUUGAGCUUUAUUCUCUAUAGACUAAAUCAAAUAUUAAAUAUAUCAUAAACCUAAAAAGAAUUUAGUUGGGGUGACUAAGGAACACCAAAAACUUCCUUUUACUAGUUAGGAUCAUUCUCCCCACAAAUUGACCCAUUACACAUGAUCAAAAAAAUAAGCUACCACAGGGAUAACAGGCUAAUCUUUCUCAAGAGCCCAAAUUGUCAGAAAGGAUUGGCACCUCGAUGUUGGCUUAGGGGCCCCUAAUGGUGCAGAAGCCAUAAAUGGUAGGUUUGUUCAACCUUUAAAACCCUACGUGAUCUG
rnacentral:rRNA from 1 species